rnacentral:rRNA from 1 species
GUACACGCUGUGACUAGCAUAUCAAUAAGCGGAGGAAAAGAAACUAACAAGGAUUCCCCUAGUAACGGCGAGUGAAGCGGGAAGAGCUUAAAUUUGAAAUCUUAAAGGGUUUCCCUUUACGAAUUGUAGUUUAAAGAAGUGUUUUCUGUUGAGGUUUUGGUAAAAGUUCUUUGGAAUAGGACAUCAUAGAGGGUGAGAAUCCCGUAUUUGACCUUUACUUUCAACAUUGUGAUACACUUUCAAAGAGUCGGAUUGUUUGGGAAUGCAGUCCAAAAUGGGUGGUAAAUUUCAUCUAGAGCUAAAUAUUGGCGAGAGACCGAUAGCGAACAAGUACCGUGAGGGAAAGAUGAAAAGAACCUUGAAAAGAGAGUUAAACAGUACGUGAAAUUGUCAAAAGGGAAGCGUUUGACACCAGUGUUGUUUUUCUGAAAAUCAAUUAAAGAACUGUUUAUGCUAAGCUGUUUAGACUUUAUCAGCUAUCUGUUUAGUUUUGAGCUUUUCUUUAAUGCACUUUUCAGUUAACAAGUCAACAUCAAUUUCUUUUGCUGUAAAAAAGCUUGAGGAAGGUGGCUUGAGAUUCGUCUUAAGUGUUUAUAGCCUCUUGCCUAUGCAGUCGGAGAGAUGAGGUCUGCAGCGUAGAUCCUUCGGGGCUAAAUGCAUUUGUGCUAAGUUAUAGCAUUUUAUAGACAACUUGUUGACUAUGAUUUGUCUUGUAGCUUACUCGCUUAUGUUAUUUUACCUACGCUUAGGAUGUUGAUAUGCAUGACUGAUAU